rnacentral:rRNA from 1 species
UACGUAGGCAGCGAGCGUUGUUCGGAAUUACUGGGCGUAAAGAGUGUGUAGGCGGUGCUCUAAGUUCGGUGUGAAAUCUCCCGGCUUAACUGGGAGGGUGCGCCGGAAACUGGAGUGCUCGAGCGUGGGAGAGGAAAGCGGAAUUCCUGGUGUAGCGGUGAAAUGCGUAGAUAUCAGGAGGAACACCGGUGGCGAAGGCGGGUCUCUGGGCCGUAACUGACGCUGGAGGAGCGAAAGCCGUGGGGAGCGAACAGG